AGUGGCGGACGGGUGAGUAACGCGUGAGUAACCUGCCUCUAAGAGGGGAAUAACAUUCUGAAAAGAAUGCUAAUACCGCAUAAUAUAUAUUUAUCGCAUGGUAGAUAUAUCAAAGAUUUAUCGCUUAGAGAUGGACUCGCGUCCGAUUAGUUAGUUGGUGAGGUAACGGCUCACCAAGACCGCGAUCGGUAGCCGGACUGAGAGGUUGAACGGCCACAUUGGGACUGAGACACGGCCCAGACUCCUACGGGAGGCAGCAGUGGGGGAUAUUGGACAAUGGGGGAAACCCUGAUCCAGCGACGCCGCGUGAGGGAAGAAGGUUUUCGGAUUGUAAACCUCUGUUGACGGAGAAAAAAAUGAUGGUAUCCGUUUAGAAAGCCACGGCUAACUACGUACCUGCAGCCGCGGUAAUACGUAGGUGGCAAGCGUUGUCCGGAAUUACUGGGUGUAAAGGGAGUGUAGGCGGGAUAUCAAGUCAGAAGUGAAAAUUACGGGCUCAACUCGUAACCUGCUUUUGAAACUGACAUUCUUGAGUGAAGUAGAGGCAAGCGGAAUUCCUAGUGUAGCGGUGAAAUGCGUAGAUAUUAGGAGGAACACCAGUGGCGAAGGCGGCUUGCUGGGC
rnacentral:rRNA from 1 species